GAGUGAAGAGGGAAGAGCUCAUCAUUGGAAUCUGGCAGUGUUUCACUGUCCGAGUUGUAGAUGAGGAGUAGUCCGUCUGGACUGCAUGGCGUCCAAGUACAAUAGGCCGUCAGUGGGACAUCAUAGAGGGUGACAAUCCCGUCCUUGACGCCAAUGUGCAAGUCUAUUACGAUGGCUAUCUCAGAGAGUCGAGCAGUUUGGGAUUUGCUGCUUAAACAUGGGAGGUAGAUUCCUUCUAAAGCUAAAUACAGGCGAGAGACCGAUAGAGAACAAGUACCGCAAGGGAAAGAUGAAAUAGCACUCUGUGAAGGGAGUCAAAAGGCGUGAAAUUGUUGCGAGAGAAGCGAUUCAAGUCAGCGUAGCUAGGCCCAUCAAGCGUCUUCGCUUUGGACUAGCUUUGCCAGCGGUCUUGUCCCUUAAAGAGACUUGACUUGUAAUAUGUCCAGCCUGGCGUGCACAGGCAGCCCCUUCUGGGGGCCAGUGACAUGGCUGGUGGAAUGGCUUGCAAUCGACCCGUCUUGAAACACGGACCAAGGAGUCUAACAUGUAUGCAGUAUAAGGGUGGCAAACCCGUAUGCGCAAUGAAAGUGAUUUUCGGUGAUUGAGAAUGGCCUGAUGACCAGACAAGCAAUAUAUGUCCCUCGUACGGCCAUUGCCCAAGUUCCGUGGUAGAUCCCACGAACAUGGAGUUGGAGCAUACAUGCUAGGACCCGAAAGAUGGUGAACUAUGCCUGGACAAAGCGAAGCCAAAGGAAACUCUGGUGGAGGCUUGUAGCGAUUCUGACGUGCAAAUCGAUCGUCUGAUCU
rnacentral:rRNA from 1 species